UGAGGAAUAUUGGACAAUGGGUGGAAGCCUGAUCCAGCCAUCCCGCGUGAAGGAUGACGGUUCUAUGGAUUGUAAACUUCUUUUGUACAGGGAUAAACCUGCCCUCGUGAGGGCAGCUGAAGGUACUGUACGAAUAAGCACCGGCUAACUCCGUGCCAGCAGCCGCGGUAAUACGGAGGGUGCGAGCGUUAUCCGGAUUUAUUGGGUUUAAAGGGUCCGUAGGCGGGCCUGUAAGUCAGUGGUGAAAUCUCAUAGCUUAACUAUGAAACUGCCAUUGAUACUGCAGGCCUUGAGUAAAUUUGAAGUGGCUGGAAGAAGUAGUGUAGCGGUGAAAUGCGUAGAUAUUACUUAGAACACCGAUUGCGAAGGCAGGUCACUAAGAUUUAACUGACGCUGAUGGACGAAAGCGUGGGGAGCGAACA
rnacentral:rRNA from 1 species